rnacentral:rRNA from 1 species
CAGGCCUAACCAUGCAAGUCGAGCGAUAACGCAGACAACCUUGUGCCUUGGGUGACGAGGGGGGACGGUUGACUAAUGCUUGGGAAUAUGCCAUAGGGUGGGGGACAAAGAUGGAAACGACUGCUAAUACCGCAUAACGUCUACGGACCAUAGGGGGGAUCUUCGGACCUCUCGCCCUAUGAUUAGCCCACGUGAGAUUAGCUAUUGGUAGGGUAAACGCCUACCAUCGCGACGAUCUCUACCUGGUAUGGGAUGUGAUCAGCCGCCAUGGGACUGAGACACGGACCACACUCCUACGGUAGGCGCGGUGGGGAAUAUUGUACAAUGGGGGAAACCCUGAUGACGCCGUGUCGGUGUGUCAAAAACGCCUUCGGGUAGUAAUGCACUUACGGUCGUGAGG